rnacentral:lncRNA from 1 species
GAAAAUUGUGACACUUUAAAUUGGUCUGGUGGAAUUUUCUCUGACCUUCUCCCUGUAUCCAGUUACAGCAGUACAUUCCCUUGUUUCAUAGUUUGUCUGCAUCUCGUUAUUGGGCCUCGAGAAAACGCAGCCAGACCCGGCUUGGUUCCGGGAACGAAAAUUUUGGCGACUCAGCCAGGAGGCCGCCAGGACGAUGCUGCCUUCGGUGGCCAGCAGAUUGCAAGGAGGUGGUCAAUAGGAGACUCCCAGCAGCUGCCGGGUGAGAUUGUCCCAGGGAAUCUCCUGAGGGCCGGCCCAUGGGCAAAACUGCAUGUGCUUUUCCUCACUAGGAAAGAACGGAAGUUUGGCAGGAGUGGACUAGCUCAAAGGGCCUGCUGAAGCUGUGAGAAAGCUCAGACUUCCAUCCCUACAUUGUUGAGAACUGGCAAUGUUACAAAGAAGAAACCCCUCAAGACUAUCCGACCAAACAUUUCGUCUCUGAGAAAUGUUCACUCACCCCAGGGUGUGGAACUGAAGGAGUAUUGGUGCCAGUGUCUCCAGACAAGCCUUCUGCAGGAAGCCCUGUGCUUUACCACGAGAGUUUUCUCCAGGGUCAGAGACAGUGGAAGUCGCACUGAAACACUGGAAAACAUUACAUGCAAGAAAAUUCUUAGAAUUGAAUUCUGGUGUGAGUAAUGAAAUAUUUCCCUUUGCAAAAAAAUCAAUUUAGUCAUCAGAUCAAAAUCUGAACCAGUCUUGUUUAUAAUGGCUAUAAAAAUGUAAAUCAAGCAAUUGCUGACUUGGUUUCUUACCUGUCCACCCAUUGUAUGUCAUGAACAAACUGAAAUGCAGUCUCUCGCUUUAGAGCUAAACAGUGCUAUUUUUAUGGAGGAAGUCCCUGAAUUUUGAUGUGAAAUAUUUUUCUCUAAAUUCUGCCAUCUGGGAAAGCUUUAUAAAAUCUUGUUUUCUAACACACCUAUCAAUAAAAUAUAAUGCUUAAAUCAGACAAUAAAAUAUGAUUAUUUAUAUUUAUAUGUUCUGUCAAUCUAUAUGAUGUAGCAGGAGUUCUGUGUCCAUCAGAAUCUCUUUUCCAGUCCUUUCUACUUCUGGAUCGCACAUGAGGCUGGUCCCAAUCCACACCACUGAGAAAAUCCUG